rnacentral:lncRNA from 1 species
AUCGCCGUCGCCGCUGCAUCCGAGCGGCCACCGCCCUCGCCGUUGCAUCCGGGCGGCCGCCAUCGCCCCCUUCCCCGCGCCGCCCUGUCUUCCGCCUCCCCGCGCCUACCCCCUCCGGCGCUGCGCCGCCCCGACGUCUGCCUGUGCUGCCGCUUGCCUCACUCGACUGAGAGGAAGAAAAGCAAAGGGAAAUAGAGAAAGUGAAAAAAUAAAGAGCGAGAGAGAGAGGGGGGAGGGAGAGAAAAAAAAGAAGAGGCUGACAGGGUG